UUGCCUCAGUAACGGCGAGUGAAGCGGCAAUAGCUCAAAUUUGAAAUCUGCUCUUUUUGAGCCGAAUUGUAAUUUGUAGAGGAUGCUUCGGCUUACGUCUCGGUCUAAGUUCCUUGGAACAGGACGUCACAGAGGGUGAGAAUCCCGUUUGUGGCCGCGACUUCCGCCAUGUGAAGCUCCUUCGACGAGUCGAGUUGUUUGGGAAUGCAGCUCUAAAUGGGAGGUAUAUUUCUUCUAAAGCUAAAUACCGGCCAGAGACCGAUAGCGCACAAGUAGAGUGAUCGAAAGAUGAAAAGCACUUUGGAAAGAGAGUUAAAAAGUACGUGAAAUUGUUGAAAGGGAAGCGCUUGCGACCAGACUUGCCCGCGGAUGCUCAACCGGUCCUUCGGCCGGUGCACUCUUCCGCGGUCAGGCCAGCAUCAGUUCGAGUAGCCAGAUAAAGGCUUAGGGAAUGUGGCUCUCUUCGGGGAGUGUUAUAGCCCUUUGUGCAAUAUGGCUCACUUGGACUGAGGCCCGCGCUUCGGCUAGGAUGCUGGCGUAAUGGUCGUAAGCGGCCCGUCUUGAAACACGGACCAAGGAGUCUAACAUCUAUGCGAGUGUUUGGGUGUCAAACCCGUGCGCGAAAUGAAAGUGAACGGAGGUGGGAACCUUUUGGGUGCACCAUCGACCGAUCCUGAUGUCUUCGGAUGGAUUUGAGUAAGAGCAUAGCUGUUGGGACCCGAAAGAUGGUGAACUAUGCCUGAAUAGGGUGAAGCCAGAGGAAACUCUGGUGGAGGCUCGCAGCGGUUCUGACGUGCAAAUCGAUCGUCAAAUUUGGGUAUAGGGGCGAAAGACUAAUCGAACCAUC
rnacentral:rRNA from 1 species